UACAGAGGGUGCGAGCGUUAAUCGGAAUUACUGGGCGUAAAGCGUGCGUAGACGGUUAUUUAAGUCGGGUGUGAAAGCCCCGGGCUCAACCUGGGAAUUGCAUUCGAGACUGAAUAGCUAGGGUACGGUAGAGGGAAGCGGAAUUUCCGGUGUAGCGGUGAAAUGCGUAGAGAUCGGGAGGAACAUCUGUGGCGAAGGCGACUGCCUGGACCAGCACUGACACUGAGGCACGAAAGCGUGGGGAGCAAACAGG
rnacentral:rRNA from 1 species